UUGGAGGGCAAGUCUGGUGCCAGCAGCCGCGGUAAUUCCAGCUCCAAUAGCGUAUAUUAAAGUUGUUGCAGUUAAAAAGCUCGUAGUUGAAUUUCGGGAUUUGUCGGUUGGUCGGGCUUCACUGUCCGCACUGACCUGAUGGAUUCCUACCUUCUGAACAACCAGCAUGCUAUUAAGUUAGUGCGUUGGGGAAGCAGAGCUAUUACCUUGAAAAAAUUAGAGUGCUUAAAGCAAGCUUGUGCUUGAAUAGAUUAGCAUGGAAUAAUAAAAUAGGACGGCAUGGUUCUAUUUUGUUGGUUUCUAGGAUCACCGUAAUGAUUAAUAGGGAUAGUUGGGGGCAUUAGUAUUCAAUUGUCAGAGGUGAAAUUCUUGGAUUUAUUGAAGACUAACUUCUGCGAAAGCAUUUGCCAAGGAUGUUUUCACUAAUCAAGAACGAAAGUUAGGGGAUCGAAGACGAUCAGAUACCGUCGUAGUCUUAACCAUAAACUAUGCCGACUAGGAAUCGGGCGUCGUUAUUUUCACGACUCGCUCGGCGCCUUACGGGAAAC
rnacentral:rRNA from 1 species